AGUGUGUUUCGACACACUAUCAUUAACUGAAUCCAUAGGUUAAUGAGGCGAACCGGGGGAACUGAAACAUCUAAGUACCCCGAGGAAAAGAAAUCAACCGAGAUUCCCCCAGUAGCGGCGAGCGAACGGGGAGGAGCCCAGAGCCUGAAUCAGUGUGUGUGUUAGUGGAAGCGUCUGGAAAGGCGCGCGAUACAGGGUGACAGCCCCGUACACAAAAAUGCACAUAUUGUGAGCUCGAUGAGUAGGGCGGGACACGUGGUAUCCUGUCUGAAUAUGGGGGGACCAUCCUCCAAGGCUAAAUACUCCUGACUGACCGAUAGUGAACCAGUACCGUGAGGGAAAGGCGAAAAGAACCCCGGCGAGGGGAGUGAAAAAGAACCUGAAACCGUGUACGUACAAGCAGUGGGAGCCUCUUAAUGGGGUGACUGCGUACCUUUUGUAUAAUGGGUCAGCGACUUAUAUUCUGUAGCAAGGUUAACCGAAUAGGGGAGCCGAAGGGAAACCGAGUCUUAACUGGGCGUUAAGUUGCAGGGUAUAGACCCGAAACCCGGUGAUCUAGCCAUGGGCAGGUUGAAGGUUGGGUAACACUAACUGGAGGACCGAACCGACUAAUGUUGAAAAAUUAGCGGAUGACUUGUGGCUGGGGGUGAAAGGCCAAUCAAACCGGGAGAUAGCUGGUUCUCCCCGAAAGCUAUUUAGGUAGCGCCUCGUGAAUUCAUCUCCGGGGGUAGAGCACUGUUUCGGCAAGGGGGUCAUCCCGACUUACCAACCCGAUGCAAACUGCGAAUACCGGAGAAUGUUAUCACGGGAGACACACGGCGGGUGCUAACGUCCGUCGUGAAGAGGGAAACAACCCAGACCGCCAGCUAAGGUCCCAAAGUCAUGGUUAAGUGGGAAACGAUGUGGGAAGGCCCAGACAGCCAGGAUGUUGGCUUAGAAGCAGCCAUCAUUUAAAGAAAGCGUAAUAGCUCACUGGUCGAGUCGGCCUGCGCGGAAGAUGUAACGGGGCUAAACCAUGCACCGAAGCUGCGGCAGCGACACUAUGUGUUGUUGGGUAGGGGAGCGUUCUGUAAGCCUGUGAAGGUGUACUGUGAGGUAUGCUGGAGGUAUCAGAAGUGCGAAUGCUGACAUAAGUAACGAUAAAGCGGGUGAAAAGCCCGCUCGCCGGAAGACCAAGGGUUCCUGUCCAACGUUAAUCGGGGCAGGGUGAGUCGACCCCUAAGGCGAGGCCGAAAGGCGUAGUCGAUGGGAAACAGGUUAAUAUUCCUGUACUUGGUGUUACUGCGAAGGGGGGACGGAGAAGGCUAUGUUGGCCGGGCGACGGUUGUCCCGGUUUAAGCGUGUAGGCUGGUUUUCCAGGCAAAUCCGGAAAAUCAAGGCUGAGGCGUGAUGACGA
rnacentral:rRNA from 1 species